AUGGACAUAGCUACUAGCUAACGGGACUCCAGUCCAGUGUUGUUGUGGUAGUGGACCUUUCAGGAUGUAUCGAAAGUCAUUCUCUACACAUUUACUUGCUUUCAUCAUGGCAGACCCCUGGAAUAACAGCGAUUGUUUUCACAUCCUCCUGGUCAUUUAAACAGCUGCUGUGCCAGGCUGAUGAGUUCUUUUGCUACUGCCAUGGCCGUUUUGUAGGGUCGUAAUCACACUUAAAAGCAUACACUACUGUACCAGUGUUGACUUCUGCAACUACAAUGGCAGCUUUGCAGGGAAGAAAUCAUUGCUUCUAAGGUUAGAGACAGAAGCGCUAAGUGAUAAGCGCUUGGCUCCUCAAAGAAUGCUGAAAUGAAAAACAGGCAGGAAUGGUGACCUGUGCGAUCUGAGGUUGGCGACAUCUCAGUGAUCACAUGAUUGGAUCAUGCGGCCGCCCAUCGUUGCUAGGCACUCUGUGUUGGUAGCGUAUGAUGUAUGGGCCUUAGGGAUAGGUGAUGCAAAGAAGAGAUGACACUCUUGGAUUGCUUGUGUCAUUGUGCAGAACACACCUGGAGGAGGUUGGGGAACGCCCAUCAUAAGAUGGGUUCAUGGCACCAUAUAAGAGAAUGGGUUCUCUAAGACUUUAAUGACCAUUAAAAUGGUGUAGUUAAUCAGACAGUGAGAUUUUAGGGAGUUACUUACUUAAACCUGGUUCAGGAGAGGAAAAUUACGUUUACAGUUUUUUGGGGGUCAGACUUUAUUCCUUUAACUCCAUUUUUAUGUAUUCAUUUUGUUCCAUUUAAUGUUACUAAUUUGGGAAAUAAAAAGUAUAUUUUUGUA